AAGAAAUUAGUUAAUAGAAUAACAUUGAACUGUCAAGUCAAAAUAAUAAUUUUUUUAUAUUUCUUU
rnacentral:tRNA from 1 species